rnacentral:rRNA from 1 species
UACGUAGGGACCGAGCGUUGUCCGGAUUCAUUGGGCGUAAAGAGCUCGUAGGCGGCUGCUCAAGUCGAAUGUGAAAACUCGAGGCUCAACCUCGAGCCUGCAUUCGAUACUGGGCGGCUAGAGUCUGGUAGGGGGAUCUGGAAUUCCUGGUGUAGCGGUGGAAUGCGCAGAUAUCAGGAGGAACACCGGUGGCGAAGGCGGGAUCCUGGGCCAGUACUGACGCUGAGGUGCGAAAGCGUGGGGAGCAAACAGG